rnacentral:lncRNA from 1 species
AAAAAUAAAGAGUUUUUUUUUCUUUGAUUGAAAUUAUAAUUAUAAUUACAAGUAAUACAUCCGAAUAUUUACAACAAAAAUCAAUCAUUACAAUGCACACUGAUUAUUAGACUAGCUGCGUGUUUAUGUACAUGGGUACUACUAUAUUCAUAUACUGUAUCUCAUCAACUCAUACUAUAAAAGAUACUAUAGGCAAAUAAUUGAGCUAAUGCACAUAAAAUUCGUGUUUGAAUGUGGUUAGAUUCUGGGUGAAUUUAAGGGCCUAGCUAUGGGGUGUCACGAGCCUGGCUCCCCUUAAAAUGAAUUUUUUUAAUUAAAUAUUUUAAAAUUUUUAAAAUAUAAAUUAAUAAAUAUAAAAUUACACUUUAGCCCCUAAAAUAAUAAAACUUUGAUUUAGCCCUUUAAAAAUUACAAAAAUAUAAGCUAUUAAAAUGAUGAAAUUAUAUUUUUACUAUUAUAAAAAUUAUAAUUUAAUUUUGAAACUAUAAAAAAUUUUCUCACUCCACCCUAGGUUAACUUAUUUUUGUUCGAAUCUAAGCUUCGAGUGACAUCCCUCAUAAGCUUGUCAAAAUGAUGCAACAAAAGAAUAUACAAAGUUAAAAUCAUGGAAACAACUUUACGUAUUGAAAAUAAUAAUAAUAAAAUUUGUUCCAUGUACACUAUAUAUAACAUAAUAAGUCAGUAAGUUCGUCACUCAUUUGCGGAAACAAACUAGGGCGGGCCAGUCUGCAAUAUGGUGGGCAAGUUUAACAGCAGCAGAUGAAGUGGGUGCCUCUACCAUUGUAAUGUUGUUGAAGUAGAAUACAGCCAAAUUGUUGAUAGCAGAUGCACACUAAAAUAAUGUGUUCAUACUCCUACAUUCAACUUUAAACAAAUAUAGUAUUUUGGUUAGGGAAAAGUCAGCAAUAUUUUUUUUAAGUUAUUGUAAGCACUGAAUUCUCAAUAAUUAAUUUAACUCUAAUUAACUAACUAGCCAAAAUAAAGAUGGAGGACAACCUACAAAUUUAUACAAGAUGAGAAUCGAACAUAAAUCUCAAAAUUAUUAAGGCUUCAAUCUUACCAUUAAGUUAGGGUCUCAUUGACGAAAAAAAAAAAGUCAUACAAGAGAAGAGAGAAUGGCAAACCACCUGUAAUGGUCACCGUCCACCAAAGAGCAGCAUACUCCAUGGUGCAGAGCGAACCGCUCGAGGCACAUCAUGCCUGGAAGGGUGCAGAAUUGAGAUGGAAGAGUUCGGAAUGUCCCAGAUUGUGGCAGACACUUCUAGUUGUUAGAAAUCAAACCAACUUUUCAAAGUCAAAAAUUACAACUAAAGAGUUUGUAUCCAAAUUGGCUUCUACCUCAUACAACUUGAUUUUCAAAUUGAAUACAACUUUUCAAAUUGGAUAAAGCUUAUCAUGUUGGAAACUUCAUGAAAAAUCAAGAUGGUAGCAACAUUGAAAAGUC